rnacentral:rRNA from 1 species
UACGAAGGGGGCUAGCGUUGCUCGGAAUUACUGGGCGUAAAGCGCACGUAGGCGGCUUUCUAAGUCGGGGGUGAAAUCCUGGAGCUCAACUCCAGAACUGCCUUCGAUACUGGAAAGCUCGAGUCCGGGAGAGGUGGGUGGAACUGCGAGUGUAGAGGUGAAAUUCGUAGAUAUUCGCAAGAACACCAGUGGCGAAGGCGGCUCACUGGCCCGGUACUGACGCUGAGGUGCGAAAGCGUGGGGAGCAAACAGG